rnacentral:rRNA from 1 species
CGGACGGGUGAGUAACGCGUGAGAAUCUGCCCUCAGGAAGAGGAUAACAGCUGGAAACGGCUGCUAAUACUCUAUACGCCGAGAGGUAAAAGGAUUUAUCCGCCUGAGGAUGAGCUCGCGUCUGAUUAGCUAGUUGGUAAGGUAAAGGCCUACCAAGGCGACGAUCAGUAGCUGGUCUGAGAGGAUGAUCAGCCACACUGGGACUGGGACACGGCCCAGACUCCUACGGGAGGCAGCAGUGGGGAAUUUUCCGCAAUGGGCGAAAGCCUGACGGAGCAAUACCGCGUGAGGGAUGAAGGCCUCUGGGCUGUAAACCUCUUUUUUCAGGGAGGAAAAAAAUGACGUGUACCUGAAGAAUAAGCAUCGGCUAACUCCGUGCCAGCAGCCGCGGUAAGACGGAGGAUGGCAAGUGUUAUCCGGAAUUACUGGGCGUAAAGCGUCUGUAGGUGGUUUAAUAAGUCAACUGUUAAAUCUUGAGGCUUAACUUCAAAACAGCAGUCGAAACUAUUAGACUAGAGUAUAGUAGGGGUAAAGGGAAUUUCCAGUGGAGCGGUGAAAUGCGUAGAUAUUGGAAAGAACACCGAUGGCGAAAGGCACUUUACUGGGCUAUUACUAACACUCAGAGACGAAAGCUAGGGUAGCAAAAGGGAUUAGAUACCCCUGUAGUC